AAUCUGAGGCGCAGGCAACA
rnacentral:misc_RNA from 1 species